GUCUCCAUGGUCCAGGGGACAGGACGGCGGCCUCCGAAGCCGCAAGCGCAGGUUCGACUCCUGCUGGAGACA
rnacentral:tRNA from 1 species